UACGUAGGCAGCGAGCGUUGUUCGGAAUUACUGGGCGUAAAGAGUGUGUAGGCGGUGCUCUAAGUUCGGUGUGAAAUCUCCUGCUUAACUGGGAGGGUGCGCCGGAAACUGGAGUGCUUGAGCGUGGGAGAGGAAAGCGGAAUUCCUGGUGUAGCGGUGAAAUGCGUAGAUAUCAGGAGGAACACCUGUGGGUGUAGACGGCUUUCUGGACCAUUGCUGAC
rnacentral:rRNA from 1 species